GGAGAGGUGGGUGAGUGGCUGAAACCACAGGUUUGCUAAACCUGCGUACCUUUUAUAGGGUACCGAGGGUUCGAAUCCCUCCCUCUCCG
rnacentral:tRNA from 1 species